GCGAAAUGCGAUAAGUAAUGUGAAUUGCAGAAUUCAGUGAAUCAUCGAAUCUUUGAACGCACCUUGCGCUCCUUGGUAUUCCUUGGAGCAUGCCUGUUUGAGUAUCAUGAAAUCUUCAAAGUAAAUCUUUUGUUAACUCAAUUGGUUUCUACUUUGGUAUUGGAGGUCUUUGCAGCUUCACACCUGCUCCUCUUUGUUCAUUAGCUGGAUCUCAGUGUUAUGCUUGGUUCCACUCGGCGUGAUAAGUUAUCUAUCGCUGAGGACACUGUAAAAGGUGGCCAAGGUAAAUGCAGAUGAACCGCUUCUAAUAGUCCAUUGACUUGGACAAUACUUUUAUGAUCUGAUCUCAAAUCAGGUAGGACUACCCGCUGAACUUAAGC
rnacentral:misc_RNA from 1 species